rnacentral:rRNA from 1 species
AUGGGUAGGAAACGCAAAAUACCAAAAAAAAUAGUUGUACCUACUGCUCCAAUGGUUGAAGAACCACUCAAAAUCUAUCACACUGUUGAAGCUUAUUACUUUGAUCAUCUUCGAUCCCUAUGUGCUCGUGCUGAAAGCCCCACUAGUUUAGUUGAGGGCAAAUCUUUAGAUGAGCAUGCUUGUUAUGUGCGACACCGUAUAUCUGAAAAAGGGAAACUAUUAUGGGGUCAAAUUCAACGUUUGCAAUGCUAUGCUUGGAAUUUAUGCUAUUAUUAUGAUUUUACUUGUUGUUCUAAAAACCCUAAGAAACACCUUCCCUACCAAUGUGAGUUUAUUGAUAAUGGAAUCUUAUCCUCGUAUGCUAAGGGUGUUUAUAAUUACUAUGAUGUUCAACAAAUUGAAGAAUUUGUUGCUUUUAAGGGUGCUUACGAAAUUGCUUCUUUGAUUGAAAAGUAUGGUGCUACUCUUUACGAAUUUUAA